UGUGCCAGCAGCCUCGGUAAUACGAAGGGUGCAAGCGUUACUCGGAAUUACUGGGCGUAAAGCGUGCGUAGGUGGUGGUUUAAGUCUGCUGUGAAAGCCCUGGGCUCAACCUGGGAAUUGCAGUGGAUACUGGAUCACUAGAGUGUGGUAGAGGGAUGCGGAAUUUCUGGUGUAGCAGUGAAAUGCGUAGAGAUCAGAAGGAACAUCCGUGGCGAAGGCGGCAUCCUGGGCCAACACUGACACUGAGGCACGAAAGCGUGGGGAGCAAACAGGAUUAGAUACC
rnacentral:rRNA from 1 species